AAACUGAAGAGUUUGAUCCUGGCUCAGAUUGAACGCUGGCGGCAUGCUUUACACAUGCAAGUCGAACGGCAGCACGGGCUUCGGCCUGGUGGCGAGUGGCGAACGGGUGAGUAAUAUAUCGGAACGUGCCCAAGAGUGGGGGAUAACGUAGCGAAAGUUACGCUAAUACCGCAUACGAUCUAAGGAUGAAAGUGGGGGAUCGCAAGACCUCAUGCUCCUGGAGCGGCCGAUAUCUGAUUAGCUAGUUGGUGAGGUAAAGGCUCACCAAGGCGACGAUC
rnacentral:rRNA from 1 species